GAUGAACGCUAGCGGCAGGCCUAACACAUGCAAGUCGAGGGGUAACAGAAAAGAGCUUGCGUUUUUUUGCUGACGACCGGCGCACGGGUGCGUAACGCGUAUGCAACCUACCCUGUACUGGAGAAUAGCCCGGAGAAAUCCGGAUUAAUGCUCCAUAGUAUAAUAGUUUCGCAUGUUACUAUUAUUAAAGGUAACGGUACAGGAUGGGCAUGCGUCCCAUUAGCUAGAUGGUAAGGUAACGGCUUACCAUGGCAACGAUGGUAGGGGGCCUGAGAGGGUGAUCCCCACACUGGUACUGAGACACGGACCAGACUCCUACGGGAGGCAGCAGUGAGGAAUAUUGGUCAAUGGAGGCAACUCUGAACCAGCCAUGCCGCGUGAAGGAAGAAUGUCCUAUGGAUUGUAAACUUCUUUUAUUUGGGAAUAAACUCCGGUACGUGUACCGGCCUGAAUGUACCAAAUGAAUAAGCACCGGCUAACUCCGUG
rnacentral:rRNA from 1 species